UAAGACCUUGCAGAAGGAGUGAGUUUUUGGUCUUGGAGGUUCAGCACGACAAGGAUCAAGACUUGUAGGCUCAAUUUUCUAAAGCACAUUUGGUCAAUUAGAAAAAACACUAAAACACUUUAUAUGGACAAAAAAACUCAAACAAAAAUGCAACAAAACUCAAACACCUUAUAUGCAACCAAAAAAACUCAAACACUUUAUAUGGACAUAAAAUCAAA
rnacentral:lncRNA from 1 species